AUUAAGGUGGCAGAGCCGGUAAUUGCAUAAAACUUAAGCCUUUAUAACCAGAGGUUCAAAUCCUCUCCUUAAUA
rnacentral:tRNA from 3 species